rnacentral:rRNA from 1 species
AUUGAACGCUGGCGGAAUGCUUUACACAUGCAAGUCGAACGGCAGCACGGACUUCGGUCUGGUGGCGAGUGGCGAACGGGUGAGUAAUGUAUCGGAACGUGCCCAGUCGUGGGGGAUAACGUAGUGAAAAUUACGCUAAUACCGCAUACGAUCUAUGGAUGAAAGCGGGGGAUCGCAAGACCUCGCGCGAUUGGAGCGGCCGAUAUCAGAUUAGGUAGUUGGUGGGGUAAAGGCCCACCAAGCCAACGAUCUGUAGCUGGUCUGAGAGGACGACCAGACACACGCGAACUGAGACACGGUCCAGACUCCUACGGGAGGCAGCAGUGGGGAAUUGUGGACAAUGGGCGAAAGCCUGAUCCAGCCAUUCCGCGUGCAGGAUGAAGGCCCUCGGGUUGUAAACUGCUUUUGUACAGAACGAAAAGGUUUCUACUAAUACUAGGAGCUCAUGACGGUACUGUAAGAAUAAGCACCGGCUAACUACGUGCCAGCAGCCGCGGUAA